AUUGAACGCUGGCGGCAUGCCUUACACAUGCAAGUCGAGCGGCAGCGCGGGGGCAACCCUGGCGGCGAGCGGCGGACGGGUGAGUAAUACAUCGGAACGUGUCCUUUCGUGGGGGAUAACCAGUCGAAAGACUGGCUAAUACCGCAUGAGAUCUCACGAUGAAAGCGAGGGACCCGAGGGUAACUUCGGGCCUCGCGCGAUUGGAGCGGCCGAUGUCGGAUUAGCAGUUGGCGGGGUAAAAGCCCACCAAGGCGACGAUCCGUAGCUGGUUUGAGAGAACGACCAGCCACACUGGGACUGAGACACGGCCCAGACUCCUACGGGAGGCAGCAGUGGGAAUUUGGACAAUGGGGGCAACCCUGAUCCAGCCAUGCCGCGUGUGUGAAGAAGGCCUCGG
rnacentral:rRNA from 1 species